rfam:Dipodomys ordii contig_52474, whole genome shotgun sequence.
GGAAGUGAGAGCAAUCUGGAUGCGACAUCUGUCACCCACUGAUCACCAAGAUUGAUUUGGCUAAUCUGGCUGAAUAGGCGGAUGUCUUCUUCCUCCUUGCUCACUGAUCCAUGUGCAGCCCUCCUGAAACUGUGUACUUGGUGGAAGAGAACAACUUUCCCCAAUAUUGAAGGAUUGGUCUUUAAAGGUAUAUGAGUAGCUGUGUUCCCCUGCUAGAACCUCCAAACAAGCUUAAAGAAUGUUAUGGCUGGGUGGGAAGGUGGCUCAGUGGUAGAGCGCUUGCCUUGCAUGCCUGAGGCCCU